AUACGAGAGGCCCAUGACGGUACCAGAGGAAUCAGCAUCGGCUAACUCCGUGCCAGCAGCCGCGGUAAGACGGAGGAUGCAAGCGUUAUCCGGAAUGAUUGGGCGUAAAGCGUCCGCAGGUGGCAGUUCAAGUCUGCUGUCAAAGACCGGGGCUUAACUUCGGAAAGGCAGUGGAAACUGAACAGCUAGAGUAUGGUAGGGGCAGAGGGAAUUCCUGGUGUAGCGGUGAAAUGCGUAGAGAUCAGGAAGAACAUCGGUGGCGAAGGCGCUCU
rnacentral:rRNA from 1 species